rnacentral:rRNA from 1 species
UUGAACGCUGGCGGCAGGCCUAACACAUGCAAGUCGAGCGGUAACAGGAAUUAGCUUGCUAAUUUGCUGACGAGCGGCGGACGGGUGAGUAAUGCUUGGGAAUAUGCCUUUUGGUGGGGGACAACAGUUGGAAACGACUGCUAAUACCGCAUAAUAUCUACGGAUCAAAGUAGGGGACCUUCGGGCCUUACGCCAAAAGAUUAGCCCAAGUGGGAUUAGCUAGUUGGUGAGGUAAUGGCUCACCAAGGCGACGAUCCCUAGCUGGUUUGAGAGGAUGAUCAGCCACACUGGAACUGAGACACGGUCCAGACUCUUCCGGGAGGCAGCAGUGGGGAAUAUUGCACAAUGGGCGCAAGCCUGAUGCAGCCAUGCCGGGUGUGUGAAGAAGGCCCUAGGGUUGUAAAGCACUUUCAGCGAGGAGGAAAGGUAGCAGUUUAAUACGCUGUUGCCGUGACGUUACCAACAGAAGAAGCACCGGCUAACUCCGUGCCAGCAGCCGCGGUAAUACGGAGGGUGCAAGCGUUAAUCGGAAUUACUGGGCGUAAAGCGCGCGUAGGUCGUUUGUUAAGCGAGAUGUGAAAGCCCCGGGCUCAACCUGGGAACUGCAUUUCGAACUGGCAGACUAGAGUAUGAUAGAGGGUGGUAGAAUUUCAGGUGUAGCGGUGAAAUGCGUAGAGAUCUGAAGGAAUACCGAUGGCGAAGGCAGCCACCUGGGUCAAUACUGACGCUCAUGUACGAAAGCGUGGGGAGCAGCCACCUGGGUCAAUACUGACGCUCAUGUACGAAAGCGUGGGGAGCAAACGGGAUUAGAUCCCCCGGUAGUCCACGCCGUAAACGAUGUCUACUAGCAGCUCGGGUCCUCGGACUUGUUUUGCAAAGCUAACGCAUUAAGUAGACCGCCUGGGGAGUACGGCCGCAAGGUUAAAACUCAAAUGAAUUGACGGGGGCCCGCACAAGCGGUGGAGCAUGUGGUUUAAUUCGACAACGCGCGAAGAACCUUACCAUCCCUUGACAUCCAGAGCAGCGAAUAGAGAUAGACGUGUGCCUUCGGGAACUCUGUGACAGGUGCUGCAUGGCUGUCGUCAGCUCGUGUUGUGAAAUGUUGGGUUAAGUCCCGCAACGAGCGCAACCCCUAUCCUUAUUUGCCAGCGCGUUAUGGCGGGAACUCUAAGGAGACUGCCGGUGAUAAACCGGAGGAGGGUGGGGAUGACGUCAAGUCAGCAUGGCCUUUAUGCCUGGGGCUACACACGUGCUACAAUGGCAGGUACAGAGGGCAGCAAUACCGCGAGGUGGAGCGAAUCCCACAAAGCUUGUCGUAGUCCGGAUUGGAGUCUGCAACUCGACUCCAUGAAGUCGGAAUCGCUAGUAAUCGCGAAUCAGAAUGUCGCGGUGAAUACGUUCCCGGGCCUUGUCCACACCGCCCGUCACACCAUGGGAGUGGGUUGCAAAAUAUCUCCAUAGUCUGAGAGAAAGAGGACGCGCGCGCGAGAGAGAUGUAACUGGGGGAAGUCGUAACAAGUAGCCUAGCUCUG